rnacentral:rRNA from 1 species
UACGUAGGGGGCAAGCGUUGUCCGGAUUUAUUGGGCGUAAAGAGCGUGUAGGCGGCCAUGCAGGUCCGUUGUGAAAACUCGAGGCUCAACCUCGAGACGCCGAUGGAAACCGCAUGGCUAGAGUCCGGAAGAGGAGAGUGGAAUUCCUGGUGUAGCGGUGAAAUGCGCAGAUAUCAGGAAGAACACCGGUGGCGAAGGCGGAUCUCUGGGCCUGUCCUGACGCUCAGGCGCGAAAACUAGGGGAGCAAACAGG